GUGCCUGAAGUGCGUAACCGUAAGGAGCGUCCUAGGGUAAAGUCGGUAACUGGGGCUAAGUCGUAACAAGGUAGCCGUACCGGAAGGUGUGGCUGGAAUACCUCCUUUCUGGAGCAUUAU
rnacentral:rRNA from 1 species